rnacentral:rRNA from 1 species
UACAGAGGCUGCAAGCGUUAUUCGGAUUCACUGGGCGUAAAGGGUGCGCAGGCGGCCAGGUGUGUCAGGUGUGAAAGCCCGGAGCUUAACUCCGGAAUUGCGCCUGAAACUACUUGGCUAGAGCAUUGGAGAGGGUAGCGGAAUUCACGGUGUAGCAGUGAAAUGCGUAGAUAUCGUGAGGAACACCAGAGGCGAAGGCGGCUACCUGGACAAUUGCUGACGCUCAGGCACGAAAGCGUGGGGAGCAAAAGGG